rnacentral:rRNA from 1 species
UACGUAGGGGGCAAGCGUUGUCCGGAAUCAUUGGGCGUAAAGAGCGUGUAGGCGGCCCGGUAAGUCCGCUGUGAAAGUCCAGGGCUCAACCCUGGGAUGCCGGUGGAUACUGUCGGGCUCGAGUCCGGGAAGAGGAGUGUGGAAUUCCUGGUGUAGCGGUGAAAUGCGUAGAUAUCUGGAGGAAUACCGGUGGCGAAGGCGGCAUCCUGGACCGACAUUGACGCUGAGGAGCGAAAGCGUGGGGAGCGAACAGG